CCUUGGAGGAGGACUUGUAGAUUGAAUGGA
rnacentral:piRNA from 1 species